rnacentral:rRNA from 1 species
UACGUAGGGGGCAAGCGUUGUCCGGAAUCAUUGGGCGUAAAGCGCGCGCAGGCGGUCCUUUAAGUCUGAUGUGAAAGCCCACGGCUCAACCGUGGAGGGUCAUUGGAAACUGGGGGACUUGAGUACAGAAGAGGAAAGCGGAAUUCCACGUGUAGCGGUGAAAUGCGUAGAGAUGUGGAGGAACACCAGUGGCGAAGGCGGCUUUCUGGUCUGUAACUGACGCUGAGGCGCGAAAGCGUGGGGAGCAAACAGG